UCCAGGCUCCAAGCUGUCAGCACAGAACCUGAUGCAGGGCUCGAACUCACGAUCUGUGAGAUCAUGACCUGGACCGAAGUCGGACGCUUAACCGACCGAGCCACCCAGGCGCCCCAAAUGACCUACAUUUUCUAAACAACUGCUAUUUUUCUUUCUUGUCAGAAUAAAGUGGCUUGUAAAGGGUCUGUUCUCAGUUCCAGAAACUGAGGGCUCCUUUCGAUAAUUCGUCAGUUGUAAUUUAUAAACUAACUUGCUUAAGACCUUGAAACCCAUCUAUAUCAUGAAAAAGGUGACCUCCGCUGGGAAAAUUCAAGACGAAUUGGAGUCACAAACCCUCUCCUGUUCUCUGGUUUGGUUCCAUCACUUGGAACAUGGAAAAAGCAAUAUUCAGAUUUGCUUCAAGAGGGAACCCACUAGCCUAGCCUGCUACUAAAUAGACACUCAUUAAAAUUGAUACUCCAUCUGAUCUCACUUAUCCUGGAGAAUUUAGGCUGUUUCGUUGGACAUCUGCUUUCCUAAGAUAAAGUCUCUCUCCAAAUAUGGACUCCACCUAGCGUUGUGACUGCAUAAAUAGGGUUAUUAGCUCACCCUUUCUUUGCAAAGCAUCUGAAGUGCCUCGCGUGCGUGAAGAAGGGGAGCCAGGGACCUUCUCAAAGCAUGUCUUAGGCCCACUCAUUGUUGCCUCUGCCAGGUCCCCAAACAGGAAGCCAGUGAAAUACACCGUAAAUACGACCCCGGUUGGUGAGUUACUUCAAAGGCGUUUUUUUGUUUUUUUGUUUUUUGUUUUUUUUUUUUUUUUGUAAAACUGAGCGGCACAGGCUAUGUGGAAUAUACCGUAUUCAUACUGAAAUGAAAUGAGGAAACGUGCAUAAAAUUAAAAUCACGACAUGGCCAGUUGAGGAAUUUGAGUGUUGGCUUGCUGCUAAGAGCACAUUUUUGUGCUACUUUAGAAAAUGAUGACCUCAACACUGCCACAAAGCCACUAUUGUCAAGGGUGCGCUGCGAACACUGCUAGGAGGAUCCAACCUGCUUUCGAUUCUUUAUCAGGGAAACAAAAGAGCCACAAGGUGAUUGUCACUGGAAUCCGAUGCUUUCCGAUGGGAUCAGACUCAUAAAAGAGCUUACAGAGGUUUAAGUUGCUCUGAAAUCAAGGUCCUUUGGGGGCACGGAUGAACUCAAAGUUACCAUCAUGCGAUAGAAUGAAUAGGAAGUGGCUUAUAAACUGUAAAUGCUAAAUAGGUCUAAAUAGUUCUUGUUGUUCAAUCGUCAGUGACAAACUCUUAGGUCAGCAGAGGCUUAAAAUUAUCUAGCAUUUGAUACAGAGAGUGAGAGAAGCACAGAGAACCAUAUGCAAUGUGUAACCUCAGGUUCCACGUACUGAAUUUUUUUUACAUUUAUUUAUUUUUUGAGAGACAUAGAGAGACAGAGCACAAGUUGGGGAGGGGCAGAGAGAGGAGGAGACACAGAAUCCAAAGCAGGCUCCAGGCUCCGAGCCAUCAGUCCAGAGCCCGAUGCAGGGCUCGAACUCACAAACUGUGAGAUCGUGACCCGAGCCGAAGUCGGACGCUCAACCUACUGAGCCACCCAGGCGCCCCUCAAGUACUGAAUUUUGAGUCCUCUUGUCCUCAUGCACUGUCUUGGGCUUUCCAAAAUCACUGUAAUGAAAUGCAGCUGGGUUUUGUACUCCUCCCAAAAAUGCAGAAGAUGGGAAAAGGGAUUUUGCUUAUUUGCCUACAUCAUUUAUAAGCUAACGUGUGAAAUGAACUAUCAAACCUUCUGAAACUUAUUAAGGUGAAUUCUGUCGCCAGAAACACAUUUUAUAGCUUUUUAAAAAAGCCAUGGGGAAUUUUCAGCAGGACAUGAGUAUUUAAAAACACAACUCAUUCCGUUAAUUGGGAGCCAUACAGCUAAGCCUCAGACAAUUUAAGUUUUAAAAUUUCUCUUGGGGCUUUAAGGGUAUCGAUUAUAAAAUGCUUAUUCAAUGUUGUUCGGCUGUGUGACUGCUCCCUGGCAUUAGGGGUGAUUCUUGCUCUUCUCCAAUGCAGCUCUGAGGCUGGACGUAAUACCCAGCAUGUGUUUGUGAAAAUAUAGGAACGUAUUCAGCAUCUUUCCGAGCACAGUUUUAGGACCUUUCUCCUACAGCAAAGUUGUUUUAGUUAUUUACAAUAAAUAUUGAUUUCAUUUGGCACGAUGCUUAGCUCCAUAUUUUAUUAAUUAGCUUUAUGUUUCAUCCUAAAUACUAAAAUAGAAGUCUUUCAAGUAACCGAGGAUCCCAAAUGCAUUUAUAAGGAAAUGCUAAUAUGGUCUUUGUGACUUUGGGAAUUUGGGUGUUGAUAAAUUUGAGGGUGUUUUGGAGUGGUGUCUAAUGCCUUAUACAAAACCGUGGCAGUUUUCUUCUAUUAAGAAAUCACAUCCCCCAAGGUGUCUGAAAAACUUCCUUCAGAAGAUUUCAAAAUGCCAGAUGUAAAUAUUUUUGCACUAAAACAAUAAUUCAGGGGGCGCCUGGGUGGCUCAGUCAGUUAAGCAUCUGACUUGAUUUCGGCUUAGGUCAUGAUCUCAUAGUCAUGAGAUCGAGGUCCACAUCAGACUCGACACUCUGUGUGAAGCCUGCUGGGGAUUCUCUCUCUCCUCCUCUCUCUCUCUGCCUCUCCCCUGCUUGCUGCCUCUCUCUCCCUCUCAAAAUAAAUAAAUAAAAUUUUUUUAAAUUAAAAACAUAAAACAAUAAUUCAGGAACACAAACAUCAAAUGACUUUUUUUUUUUUUUAGAAGACUUUAUGAUUUUAGAAGACCCACAUAUCUGAUCGAAAUUCUAUGUCAGAGUCAGCAGAGUUAAUGUUGAGUUAGGUUGAAAAACUUUCUCGGAGCUUUUGGGUGGUUAGUUGGUUAAGCAUCUGACUUCAGCUCAGAUCAUGAUCUCACGGUUCGUGAGUUCGAGCCCCGCGUCAGGCUCUGCGCUGACAGCUCAGAGCCUGGAGCCUGCUUUGGAUUCGGUGUCUCCCUCUUUCUCUGCCCCUUCCCUGCUCACGCUCUGUCUCUCACUCUCUCAAAAAUAAAUAAAAAGCAUUAAAAAAAAUUCUCUCCGAAUAUUCAACAGAUGAUACCCUGCAAAUCCAGAGUGUUCACCCGUUCUAGAACAAAGCCCUAAACACAUCUGGGAAUUUCCAGUCAGACCAGAAGAACACCAGAGGGAGCGGGCUCUGGCUGGGAGUUUUAAAAAUGCUGAAGCGACUGCCAAGAAAUAAUCUCUCCUUAGACACUGAGUGGGCAGAAGUGGUGUAUGACUCCUCUGGAUGCCCUGCUUUAGCUCUUGUCCCUGCCUGACAUCAGGGGAGGGGCAUGGGCAAGAUGGCUGCCUCCCGUGGAUUUGGCAGGAGUCUGGGACUGGAGGCUGAACCUAACCUCUUCCCUCCAGAGCUGACCCGCUUUGCAUCCUGGAGGAGAGGUCACUUUUCCCGUCCUUCUCCUUUCCCUGGGCAAUUUAGAGGGGAGAAACUGUAAAGUUUUCUGGAAGUUGCUGAUCACAUGUAAGGAGGAGAGAUUGCAGCUCAAGGGAAGAUCCUUGGGAAUCAGGGUUCAGAGGGAGAAGAGAACUAGGGAGAAGAUGGAAGCCUUCCAAGCCUGCAGGGUGAGGAUAUUCACACCGGUUUUUGAGGAAGAGCUCAGCUUGGGCGAAUAACACUGGCACGGAGACAGAACUUUGGUUGAGGUCGGGCAAAAGGACUUGAUCGUGGGAGACAGAUUAAGAGCCUGCUAACCACCGCCCCACAUCAGAACAGAAGCAGUCUCAAGGUGACUUUGCAAUGCUCCACCCAACUGCCCUGUGAAGGAAGCACCUUUAAUUCUCUCUGGUUCCAGAACCUGGGGUGGUGUUGUAGCUGUGGAAAUGCGCGUCUUGUGCAGGCAGGACAUUUAAUGCUGGCAUUAAGAUGUUGAGUUCAGAUUGUUCUAUCUGCCAAUACGUGACCCAGAGCUAUCUUAAAUCCUUUUGGAAUGAGGUAGGGUACACACUCAAAAAAUGUACAUGUCUGUGCAAGUGGAUACAUUUCUCCAAGCAGCCUUAA